rnacentral:rRNA from 1 species
UGGGGAAUAUUGGACAAUGGGCGAAAGCCUGAUCCAGCAAUGCCGCGUGAGCGAUGAAGGCCUUAGGGUUGUAAAGCUCUUUUACCCGGGAUGAUAAUGACAGUACCGGGAGAAUAAGCCCCGGCUAACUCCGUGCCAGCAGCCGCGGUAAUACGGAGGGGGCUAGCGUUGUUCGGAAUUACUGGGCGUAAAGCGCACGUAGGCGGCUAUUCAAGUCAGAGGUGAAAGCCCGGGGCUCAACCCCGGAAUAGCCUUUGAAACUAGAUAGCUUGAAUCUUGGAGAGGCGAGUGGAAUUCCGAGUGUAGAGGUGAAAUUCGUAGAUAUUCGGAAGAACACCAGUGGCGAAGGCGGCUCGCUGGACAAGUAUUGACGCUGAGGUGCGAAAGCGUGGGGAGCAAAC